UGUCCUACGGGGGGCAGCAGUGAGGAAUAUUGGUCAAUGGACGCAAGUCUGAACCAGCCAUGCCGCGCGCAGGAAGACGGCUCUAUGAGUUGUAAACUGCUUUUGUACGAGGGUAAACGCAGAUACGCGUAUCCGUCUGAAAGUAUCGUACGAAUAAGGAUCGGCUAACUACGUGCCAGCAGCCGCGGUAAUACGGAGGAUGCGAGCGUUAUCCGGAUUUAUUGGGUUUAAAGGGUGCGUAGGCGGACUGUCAAGUCAGCGGUAAAAUACGGGGGCUCAACCUCCGCCCGCCGUUGAAACUGACG
rnacentral:rRNA from 1 species